GAUGAACGCUGGCGGCGUGCCUAACACAUGCAAGUCGAGCGAUUUACUUCGGUAAAGAGCGGCGGACGGGUGAGUAACGCGUGGGUAACCUGCCCUGUACACACGGAUAACAUACUGAAAGGUAUGCUAAUACGGGAUAACAUAAGAGAGUCGCAUGGCUUUCUUAUCAAAGCUUUUGCGGUACAGGAUGGACCCGCGUCUGAUUAGCUAGUUGGUAAGGUAACGGCUUACCAAGGCGACGAUCAGUAGCCGACCUGAGAGGGUGAUCGGCCAAAUGGGAACUGAGACACGGUCCAAACUCCUACGGGAGGCAGCAGUGGGGAAUAUUGCACAAUGGGCGAAAGCCUGAUGCAGCAACGCCGCGUGAGCGAUGAAGGCCUUCGGGUCGUAAAGCUCUGUCCUCAAGGAAGAUAAUGACGGUACUUGAGGAGGAAGCCCCGGCUAACUACGUGCCAGCAGCCGCCGUAA
rnacentral:rRNA from 1 species